AACGCUGGCGGCGUGCUUAAUACAUGCAAGUCAACUUGACUUUAGAUAGCAAUAUCGAAAAGUAGGGUGGCGCACGGGUGCGUAACGCGUAGGUAAUCUGCCCUGAGGUCUGACAUAACCCGUCGAAAGGCGGGCUAACAUCAGAUGAUAUAUAAUCACGACAUCGUGGAAAUAUCAAAUCUUCGGAGCCUUGGGAUGAGCCUGCGUCUGAUUAGGUAGUUGGCGGAGUAAUAGCCCACCAAGCCUACGAUCAGUAGCUGGUCUGAGAGGAUGAUCAGCCACACUGGAACUGAGACACGGUCCAGACUCCUACGGGAGGCAGCAGUAAGGAAUAUUGCUCAAUGGGGGAAACCCUGAAGCAGCAACGCCGCGUGAAGGAUGAAAUACUUUGUAUGUAAACUUCUGUAAGAUGGGAAAAAUAUUCUCCUCGGGAGAAUUGAUUGUACCAUCAGAGUAAGCCCCGGCUAACUACGUG
rnacentral:rRNA from 1 species